GGGUCAGUAGGUUGGUCGUGCCACCGGUACGUACUGGUCUCACUGAUUCCUCCUUCCUGAAUAACCGUAAUGCCAUUAAUUUGGCGUUGCGGGGAAACAGGACUGUUACUUUGAAAAAAUUAGAGUGUUUAAAGCAAGCUAACGCUUGAAUACAUUAGCAUGGAAUAAUGAAAUAGGACGAUCGAUCCUAUUUUGUUGGUUUCUAGGAUUGACGUA
rnacentral:rRNA from 1 species